CAUAUUAACACACAAAAGGCCAUAAGGCCAUUUCAUGAGUCAACUGUUUCCUUUCUCUCUCUCUGCUGCAUCAUUUCCCCUUUCGGCAUCUCACUUUGUUUUUUUUUUCUUUUUGCAAUCUCAAAAGCUUGAUCUAGCUUUAAUCUUUUGGAUUUUGGUAGAACAUUGUGAAGCAAAGUUGUUGAGCUCGUCGAGGCCGUCAAUUUGAUAGGAGCCAAUCAUCAUUUGGUGCACUCUAGGGAGUUCAAAAUUCUAGGGUUCUUGGGCUCAAAUUGGGGAUUUUCAUCAAUUUGAGGAUAUGGAAAAGAGGUGGCGGACGACGGUCCACCACAGGUUUAGAUGAGCUUGAAGACCCAUUCUAUUUUGUUAUCUUUUGUAUUAGACUCUAAUAUUUUGUAAAUGUAAUAUUAACUACCUUGUGACACUUUAGUUUAAUUAGUAUAAUGUUGUAAGUUAUGGACUUUUAAUUCUAUCUACAUUUUAUGGAUUGUAAUUUGAUGUAACUUAAGUGGGUUCCAUG